rnacentral:miRNA from 1 species
GCGGGGGGGGGGGCGGCG